UACGGGGGGGGCAAGCUUUGUUCGGAAUUACUGGGCGUAAAGGGCUCGUAGGCGGCCAACUAAGUCGGAUGUGAAAUCCCCAGGCUCAACCUGGGAACUGCAUCCGAUACUGGAUGGCUUGAAUUCGGGAGAGGGAUGCAGAAUUCCAGGUGUAGCGGUGAAAUGCGUAGAUAUCUGGAGGAAUACCGGUGGCGAAGGCGGCAUCCUGGACCGACAUUGACGCUGAUGAGCGAAAGCUAGGGGAGCAAACGGG
rnacentral:rRNA from 1 species